ensembl:lncRNA novel transcript
UUAGAUUAAUGUGAAGGUUUACUAUCAGCAUGUCUGCUUGACCUAUACAAAGAGACACAUUCAUUACAGCAAUUCCCACUGGGAGCUAAGCCAUGCUGAGAUCAAGGGCAUGCGUAAUAAAGACGGUACCUCUAACUGAGUUUGUGGUCCAUACAUGUCCCAGAUUUUUCUUCUUCGGACAUCAAUCCCUCUGCCUGGAUGCUGAAAAAAUUAAUUUUAGAAAUCAAAGGUUAACCUUAGUACUUCAUAAUAAGUUAGCAAGAACACAUUAAAGUUCUGCAGGCACUGCCAGCAGGACGAAGGGCAAGAGAAGAGCUUCCUGCCAGCAACUCAUACCCAUCCUGAUGUGUCCAGCGCACCAGGAGGGGUAUAAGUUGCUGGCAGGAAGUUCCAGGCACAAGACACCCACCCCUACUGACCGUGCUACCUGGGCAGGUGCCGCUCUCAGCCCAAGAGUGCUUUCACUGCAUCAGCUGAACAUCCAGAAAAUAAGGGCAAAACCCAGUACCACACACCACACUGUUCCAUACUGUUGUCUGUGUAUACAUGACUGGCCGUCCGAGCCAGAACUGAAGCUUCUCUUAUUUGUUUUUCUUUUUUUUGCAGAGAUGGGGUUUCACUAUGUUGCCCAGGCUGGUCUCAAACUCCCGGGCUCAAGUGAUCC